GACGAACGCUGGCGGCGUGCCUAAUACAUGCAAGUAGAACGCACAGUUUAUACCGUAGCUUGCUACACCAUAGACUGUGAGUUGCGAACGGGUGAGUAACGCGUAGGUAACCUGCCUGGUAGCGGGGGAUAACUAUUGGAAACGAUAGCUAAUACCGCAUAAUAUUAAUUAUUGCAUGAUAAUUAAUUGAAAGGUGCAAUUGCACCACUACCAGAUGGACCUGCGUUGUAUUAGCUAGUAGGUGAGGUAACGGAUCACCUAGGCGACGAUACAUAGCCGAACUGGGAGGGUGAUCGGCCCACCUGGGACUGGGACACGGCCCAGACUCCUACGGGAGGCAGCAGUAGGGAAUCUUCGGCAAUGGACGAAAGUCUGACCGGGCAACGCCGCGUGAGUGAAGAAGGUUUUCGGAUCGUAAAGCUCUGUUGUAAGGGAAGAACGGGUGUGAGAGUGGAAAGUUCACACUGUGACGGUAUCUAACCAGAAAGGGACGGCUAACUACGUG
rnacentral:rRNA from 1 species